GAUGAACGCUGGCGGCGUGCCUAAUACAUGCAAGUCGAGCGAACAGAUAAGGAGCUUGCUCCUUUGACGUUAGCGGCGGACGGGUGAGUAACACGUGGGUAACCUACCUAUAAGACUGGGAUAACUUCGGGAAACCGGAGCUAAUACCGGAUAACAUUUGGAACCGCAUGGUUCUAAAGUGAAAGAUGGUUUUGCUAUCACUUAUAGAUGGACCCGCGCCGUACUAGCUAGUUGGUAAGGUAACGGCUUACCAAGGCGACGAUACGUAGCCGACCUGAGAGGGUGAUCGGCCACACUGGAACUGAGACACGGUCCAGACUCCUACGGGAGGCAGCAGUAGGGAAUCUUCCGCAAUGGGCGAAAGCCUGACGGAGCAACGCCGCGUGAGUGAUGAAGGGUUUCGGCUCGUAAAACUCUGUUAUUAGGGAAGAACAAAUGUGUAAGUAACUGUGCACGUCUUGACGGUACCUAAUCAGAAAGCCACGGCUAACUACGUG
rnacentral:rRNA from 1 species